GGCGAAGAAGCGCCAGGAGGAACUCUGGGUGGAGGGAGGCUGGCUCGAAGCGAUACUGACGUGCAAAUCGUUCGUCUGACUUGGGUAUAGGGGCGAAAGACUAAUCGAACCAUCUAGUAGCUGGUUCCCUCCGAAGUUUCCCUCAGGCGAGCUGGAGCCCAUUACGAGUUCUAUCAGGUAAAGCCAAUGAUUAGAGGCAUUGGGGACGCAACGUCCUCGACCUAUUCUCAAACUUUAAAUAGGUAGGAUGGCUCGGCUGCUUCGGUGAGCCG
rfam:Hordeum vulgare subsp. vulgare, WGS project CAJW01000000 data, contig: morex_contig_1053429